UCGAUCCCUCGUUCACACAGCAGAUCAAUCUCCGUCGCCGCCCGACCGCACGCCCGAUCCACCCCUACGCCCAAUCCACGGCGGAUCCAUCUCUGUGCCGCGCCGAUCCAUCCCUCUACCGCGGCCGAUCGAAACCUUCACCGUCGCAGAAGGCCGCCGCCCUCCACUUCAUGAGCCGGAGCGAUCGCGUUGAGGAUCUGCCGGCCUCACACGUCAGAGCCGCCGCCCUCGCACGAGGGAUCCGGCGACGGUGCGCUUCAGGAGGACGUCAAUCCCCCAGAUCCGACGCUGUUCCCGUUGAGGGCAUGCCGCCGAUCACGUCCAGGUUCCCCCGCCGAUCGCCUCGGUGCCGCCCGUCGGUGCGGCGGACCCGGCGGCAGCUGACGGGUGUGGAGGGAGGUUGGGUAGAUCCAGUGCAUGCUGAACUGCUGAUGAACCGGCUCUAGCACUCAAUCCCUACCAAGGGCCAGCGUGGUCUCUAGAAGAGGUUUGGUCCCAGCAUGGUUGGUGAUUCCCAGGGUUGCCGGUCUUCAUCUCUCCUGUCCAAUGAUUCUUUUACUAUUACAGUUGAAGGCGUCUGUGAUUGGUGUGCAAGGCAGACUUGAGGGACGACCAACAGAACAUCCUUGAGAAGACGAUGGCACCCAUCAUGUAAUUGUUCCAUGGGAUUGUGACCUGCAUUGAGAUUUCAGUGCUCUGUGCUUCGCCAGACUGAGAUCAAAAAGACCCCCAUUGUAUCAAUUUACAUUCGUAACACUUUAUUAUGUCAAUUUGUUGAUUGUUCAUAAUGACACUGGAUAUUCUAACAGUUGCUCAGCCUCACGUAAUAUUCCAACAAUGUAUAUUUUUUGUAAUUUUCAUUGUUCGUUAAAGUUCUAGAUACUAUGCUCGAGUAGAGUAGGUUUACUAUAACAAUUUUUUUAGGAAUAACAGGUGCAGAAGGUCUUCUACCAUCCGUGGUGUGAGGGUUUUGAAGGAGAUAUUAAUUCUAUGUGACCAUGACAGGAUGAAAUAGGGGAACAAGAUUCAGGUAUAUGAUUUGAGGUUCGUAGUGGAGAAGAGCUGUGAGAAACUGCAGUUGCCUUCUUUUAUUGGGAACAAAUACUAUGGGGAUCAAGUCGGGGAUUCAUGGCAAGGGAUUGACAAAUUUUUAUCAAAGCAGUUUGCUACACACUGCAGUGUGAAAGAAAAUCCGUUUCGAAAAAAGUGUGACAGAAAAGGUGUGCUAUUGUUUCCACAUCUCCUUUUGCUAAUCACUAAUGUUUUUCCCAAGUCUUCUCUUCCUUUUUGUAUUGACCUAGAAAUAGUUUUAGCAUUGGAGUUAGUUUCUUCGAUGUUUUCAUUGUUCUUAUCGGGAAGUGUGAAGUGAAAAUCCCAAGUCCCAGGUUUGCAUAGGCCCUUAUUACUGGUGUGCUGGUAUGGACACAUGAGGGGUGUGCUAUGGAUAUUUUUAUGUGAGAUAUUUGUUUCUCAUUUUAGUGGUCAUUCAAGUGUGAGUUAUGUGUAUCUGUAACAUGCAAUUGAGUGCCGAAACUUUCAUUAUACCUUAUCAAGGCCAUUUACAGGUUUACAUGAGCAUUUAGUUAGCAGCCUCAUGACCUCAACUAUGCAUUAUCUGUUGAUCUAACUAUCUCCUAAUCUUUUUUCUCAGAUUUUAGUUACCCAUUGCUUACACAAUGAUAGUAAGACCAAUUGCAGGGAUGUUUGAUCUUGCUCUUGUUCUGCAUGGAGGUAGGGUACAGUUGAUGUUUCAUGUUUGGUGAAAGAAAAGGAGCUUCCUAUGUGGAUUUCGGGCAAGACAUACAUUCUGCUAUACAUUAGUAGAUUAAUUGCUUCUCUGUGUAGGGGGACGAUUAGUGAUUAAAUCUCUCGGUCAUGUUUCAUGAUCAUCCAAUUAAUUUACCCCCAUCUAUGCAUAAAUUGGUCUGAUUGAGUUGUGCCAUUUUUAUAUAAUAAUCUAUAUUGGUCCUAUAUAUGACUAGAACAAUAUGAUACGACGCACAUCGGUCUGCUUUACUGGCAUCUACUCCCUCCGUUCCAUAUUACUUGUCGCUGAUUUAGUACAAAGUUGUACUAAAUCAGUGACGAGUAACAGCGACAAGUAAUGUGGAAAGGAGGGAGUAUCUUUCAUGGUGAAGGAGGGGAGGCACUCGUGUGGAGCUGCGAAAUGUUCAAGGAGAUACGGCUGAUUAAACUAGGUUAUUUUAAAGUUCUUUAUGGUUCAUGUUAGCUAUCUAUCAGUAAUAGUACAACCUUGAUUUUUAUGUGGUUCAUGUUUACCUAACCAUCAGUAACAUUACUUUCUGUUGGAGACUUUUUACAGGAGGUGCUUAUAAAAUGAUAUGAACAAGUAAAAAAUUUGGAUCGCGAUCAUCUAUUACCAGUCAUUGAUCAAAAUCUAGAAUUCUUUGUUGUGUGCCGCAUGGAAAAGACAGAGAUUAUUUGAUAUAUUCGAUAGCGCAAUAUAAUUUUCUCUUGCAUAUUUAUAAUCUGCCAUUUGAAUCAUGUUUUCUAUGUUGUAGUCCAAUCAAGACAAUUUGCAGCUUUGGUGUUGUGACGUUGGUGGCCGUGCUCAGCGGCAAUGGGGGACUGUUGUUGAUGGCUGACCUGAGAUGCCAGCGAAGGAACGAGAGUCAAUGAGGAGUGCACGCCAUGGGUUCGUGAACUGGCCAAGCCACCGUUGUUCGUUUGGUAAUGUCCGACGCAUUAGAGGCAUAGUAUGACUUGAGCCGAUUUUGACGUCAUCUAUCAACAUCUGACGAAGGGGAACCUGUCCUGGUUUCCAUCUUGAUGGACUUAACAUGAUGCAUGCAAGGAUAUACUAAAACUAUCACACCAAAGGCGAGGAUCCUUGAUCUCCACCAUAGCGAUGAAGCCAGUGUAGGAGUCGCCGUCUUCGCCAAGGAUAGUCACAAUGACGGAAAGAGUCUGGCCACACCGCCUAUUCACAUAAAUCAUCAUAUUGGCAGCCUGGAAUAUUUGGAAACAAAGAAAUAGAUGCUAGUUUGAGGGUAUGAAGCCUUUUGUUCUCAUGCAUAGGGUUAUCCCUGACUUCUCUGUUUUUUAGAUUUACAUGCUAUCUUUAUGUGUGCUUUGUUACUAUUUCUCUUUUGUUCUAGGUCUACUUUCAUGAUGUAAAUAUUUGUACACUGUGCGACUUAUAUAUAUACUAGGCAAAGAAAAGAAGGAGCCUCUCCUGAUGUUUUCUCUAUUAAAAAAUAUUUAUCUCAAAGUACACUAGAAAUGUAUAGAAACACAAAAGCGCUACUUGCUCUGUUCAUGAAAUACAUAUCUUGUAACCAUAGUGUGGGAUAUGCAUGGGUUUAACCCACUCAACUAUAUCGAAGACUUGAAAUUUUUCUUCUCCCGUUCCAAUUAACAGGCUGCAAGCCGAGGUUGUCUUUUCCUUGUUUCUAUGAGGUGUCGUAGUUCUUCUAUUUUAAUUAACCGCAUUAUCAUAAAUACAAAGAAUCUCAUCUGUUUUAGGUGAGUAUCAAAGAAAGAAGCAUGUGAUACGAUUCUAGCUAUUUUUCUUUGCAAGCGUGAUUUUAAUCCUGAGGUAGGAGGGUUCAUACAAGUGGAACUAUCAUCUCUCAUGCUAGGCUUAGAAAAUAAAAAUGAGAGAAAUUAGCAAUUAUUAAUGUAUAACAUUGCAAAAUUGUAUGGAAAAUUUAUUUAUUUUGUCAGAACUUUUAGGUGGGUGUGGAUGGAGAAUGUUGGAAGACAUUCAAAGGUAGGAUGAUGGGAAUGCCUAUGGCAAUUUGGCAAACUUGGAGAAAACAGAUGCGAUUUUGAGUUAAUGUAGAGCUGAGGGCAAGCUGCUCGUAUUCAUCUGUUUGGCCAGGAGUUAGGGAUGAUGGGACUCAACAAUUAGAUCGAUUUGGAGUGAACACAGAUUUGGAGUAGGGUGACAACAUAGGAAAGUUUUAUUUUUGAGACAAACAUAGGAAGGUAAUAGCAUAAUGUUCAAAGAGAUGAGUUGAGGGGAUCGUGAUAGAUUCAUUUGUUGGCCCGUGGCAACGCACGAGCGUUUUACUAGUGUUAGUUACUGUACACAAUGGAACUGAACAUGUAGACCAAAAGAGACGAGCCUUGCAUGGCAAUAAAAUUUCAUGUAGAUAUCGCUCCAUGGUGGGUGCGAAGGCAGCCCCCUCCACCUAUUUCGGCUUGUAAUCAAUAGGAAGAUAACUAUUCUGAGGGGGAUUCAGACGGAGAACAUCUCUCCUAUUUACCCCUUGAGGUCUUCGCUCUAACUUGGCAUGCUGUUGUUGGUAAUAUCAUGCAUAUGGUGCCUUGCAUUUCUUACUUUAUACAUAAAAGAUGUCAUCUUCUUAGUUUAGACAUCCUUUCUGUGAAUGCAAUCUGUUUAGUUUCCUUAUCGUAUACGUGAAUCAUGCAAUGCCAUCUUGUUUAGCCAGACAUCAUAUAUGUGAAUUUUGGAAGGCCACCCUGGU